UCACACCUCAGCCUCCACUUUUAAAGAUCCAAAGCUACUGCCACCCCUCUCUCUCUCUCUACUCUUUUAGGUUUUGUUUGCUAAUUGCAAAAGUGGCCAUGAAAUCCAAACCACCCAAUUUUCUCCUCCCGAAUCCCACUCCUCCUCCCCCGAGCUGAAUCCAUGGCUUCUCGCAUGGAGCUGGAGCGAUCCAUGUUCGAGACAAGCCAUGUCCUUGGGGCGCUCCUGGCCUCCUCCCCUCUGCUGACCCAGGCGUGGAGCGGCUGCCUGCGGGCCAAUGCCGGCAGCACCAGCUUCGUUCUCGACCGCUGCGGCGACACGGUGUUCGUCGCCUUCUCCGGAGCACAGAUUACCGCUUCGUCGCCGGCGGCCACCUCUGGCCUCUGUGGUGGGUUCUUCGACCCUGUUCCCCUCCCCAGCGAUUCGCGCGAGCUCUUCGCGCCGUUGGAGGCGGGCGAAGGGAACGACGGAGGGAAGCCGCAACCGGUUCUCCUCCAGGCCGGCGCCCUUCAUCUCUUUAUGAAUUUCUACCAUAGCUCCGAGUUCCAGCUGAUGAUAUCAGAGACAAAAAACCAGUUGGUGGUUUUGACUGGCCAUUCUAUGGGUGGUUGCUUAGCCUCUCUUUUGGCCCUUUAUUUCCUCUGCUCAUCUUAUGCUCGACCAAAUGCUCUGGUACCCAGUUCACUACUCUGCAUCACAUUUGGAAGCCCAUUAAUUGGGAAUGCAACACUAUCCCAAGCGAUUUUGAGGGAACGUUGGGGUGGAAAGUUCUGCCAUGUUGUUGCACAGCAUGACAUCAUGCCAAGGCUGCUAUUCAGCCCUUUCAAUUCCAUGCCUCCCCGGUUAACUACCUUGAUUUACAAUCUCAUGCAGUCAUGGCAUGUCUCAAUGCGGUAUCCUCAGUUCUCAAGACCCAAAUCGCACUUGUCUGAUGACGAGAAAUCAAUGCUGCAUCACUAUAUAUCAAUGCACAUCGGUGAAGUAGCAACGGCAGCAGCAGGGCAAAAGCGGCAAACUAGCCCCUAUCAACCAUUUGGAAACUAUGCUUUGUGUUCUGCAGAAGGUUUAGUGUGCAUGGAUGAUCCACUCACUGUGGUGAAGAUGCUCCACCUGACCUUCAUGACUGGUAAUGGAAUUAGCAACUUUGAGGAGCAGCAUCUCGACUAUGGAGAUCUUGUUUCAAAGAUAUCAGAAAACUUACAAUUCAAGAAGCAGCCCUGCCAUGAAGAAUGUGAAUCCAAAUCUAGGUAUAGCGUAGGGAUCUCACUGGCUUUAGAGGCUUCAGGGAUUAAUGUUCAGGACAUGGGCAACAUGGAGGCCCGAGAAUGUCAUGAACUGAGCAUGUGCCAGCGCCCAAAGCUGCACAGCGCAAGCUUGGCAAUAAAGCUAGCCAAGGUGACGCCAUGCCGUGCCCAGAUCGAGUGGUACAAAGCAUUGUGUGAUGAUGACAUGGGCUACUAUGACUGCUUCAAGCUCGAGAGGGCAUCCAAGCGUGAAGCAAAGGUCAACAUGAAUCGCAUCAGGCUUGGCCAAUUCUGGGAUGAGUUGCUCUCCAUGCUUCAGCACAACGAGCUACCGCACAAUUUCCUAAAGCGUGAUAAGUGGGUCAAUGCUGCACAAUUCUACAAGCUCCUUGUCGAACCCCUUGAUAUUGCUGAGUACUACCGAUGCAAGCUCCACAAGACCAAGGGCCACUACCUGAGCCAUGGCAGGGAGAGGAGGUAUGAGGUGUUUGAGAAAUGGUGGAAUGAGAACAAGGAUAAAAAUUCUCUGGAUAAGGCUGAACGUAAGAGGAGCAAGUAUGCUGGACUGACUCAGGACUCGUGUUUUUGGGCCAAGGUGGAGGAGGUGAGGGAGUGCCUUACGAAUGCAAUGAAUGAGAAGAGCCCCACUAAACUGGUGAAGCUGUGGGAGAACAUCAAUGGCUUUGAGAGUUACGCAAAUAGGCUGAUUGAGCAAAAGGAGGUGUCGAUCGAUGUGCUGGCCCCGCGGUCAAGCUACAGCUUGUGGUUGAAUGAACUGAAGGAAUUGAAGCUGAAGCAGGGAUGCUGUAUUCUUUCGUCCUCUGUACUAGUUGGAAUAACCGGAGGGACAUAGUCUGUCAAGCAUUACCAGUUCCUGCAGAGAUGUCACCAGCUAGUGACGGAUGGGCUCUGCCAAAAUCUCCCAUUCAAGGUUAAAGACCAAGUGUCAAAUGUGAUACAGUGUGGCCAGACACGCGGAGUCAUGGUUGUGGCUAGAUCGAAUAUAUGUAUAUAAGUAAGCAUGGGUGACAUCCGACGUGUGCACCUGUGGCUAGAUCGAAUAUAUGUAUAUAAGUAAGCAUGGGUGACAUUCGACGUGUACACCUGACACGUGUCAAAAUUUAAUUUUUUUUAAUUCCUAUAUGUAUGUAAUAAUUUUUUUCUCUUUCUUCUUAAA